GCAACAAUUGUAUCAAACCCCAAAGAAGGGAAUGGGGCCAGUAAGGUGUGCAGCGAGGUUCAUAGCCUAUAGCACGCAGACCUGCCCGGGCAUAACUGUCUGAUGAAGGAACCCAAAAGGAAGAUCUCUUUAUUGAUGCCAUCUUUGUUGCAACGUAAAGGGGAACCUGCAUCAAGAAAUCCCUUGGUUGAUCGAAGAAGCAUAAAACAAAGGAAAAAAGUGUGUGUGUGUGUUAUCCACUCUGGCAAUUCUGAUGCUCAAACCAAACCUGAUAAUAAGCAGAACAUGUUCAUCAUCCUGUGUCGGAUAAGAUCUGAAAAUUAUACUGAAGAUAUUUAUGCAAAUCAAGAGACUAAAACUCAGGAUGUUAGACCUCCAUCUCUCUUGAUAAGCACAAAAGGAAACACUUCUAUUUUCAAGAUGAGUGGUAUAAUCAGGAAGAAGGACACACAGUUCACAAACAACAGAUAGGCAAGGCUUGGUGAUUCAAAUACUCAAAGCUAAAGCCUUAUCAGUUAUCAAAGUCACAGCUUUAGGAAUGGUUUGCUAGACGGGUAGCUCUGUUGCAUAUGAGGUAGCCGCACCAUUGAUUUUACUACUUGCCUAAAUGACAUCUAUUUGGUUAAUUUCUCCAACAUGCAUUUAGGUGUGGGUUUUUCCAUAUGCUUCAGUGUUUAUGAUUCUUCCCACUGGAGCUGUCAAUGUUACAUCGCCUUUAUAUUUCCUUACCUUGUCACUUGCCAACUUGAAGUUAUAAAACAUGUAUUCAAUUAGUAGCAAGUUCUAGUAUCAUCUCACAUCUAAAACUCUAAAUCAUCUAUGCUUCUCUCACUAAUCAUACUAGCCAAUUCAGACAAAUGGGUAGAAUAGAGGGAGAAAUUCAAUAAGACACGAGUAAGAGAACCAAAAGAAGGACCAUUAUUGGAUAAAAAAUACAAUUAGCAUGUUAUAGUGCAUUUCACCAAAUAUAACACAAACACAUAUGAUGCUCACUGUGAUAUCCACGGCUUUAUUGAUUCUAGUAGAUUGCCUUGUUAAAAACUGUACAAGUUCAUCACUUCAUCUUAUGCUGAUUAUGAUAGGUAAAUUAUUUAGGUUUGUAACACUUGAAGAUUCAAUAGGGCCAACUAACACAGAGACAGAAGAAAGUUGUUAAAACCAUUAAGUGCACGAAAGCAUCCUGUGUUUAUCAAUAAAUCUGUUAUGAAAACGAAAGAAAGAUAGCCUCUACCUAACAAAAUAUAUUAGCAAAUUCAGUCAUGAACUUUCUUGUUGACUGAAUAAACCACUAGCUUGCAUAGAAGAAAUAAGAUACAUCCUAUCCAGAUUUCUAAUAAGCAAAUCAUAAUUUAUUAUAUUGAGUGUCCUCUGUUAUUGAAAAAACAUCUGUUGGGGUAACGACAGACCAUACAUAAAAUCAUUUCCCAAUCAUGGCCAGUUGCUUAUAGCACUGGACAUGCAGCUAUUCCAUAUCUAUCAAUUCAUGUUUCUGAGUUUAAUAAUUACUUUAAAUGGCGAAAUACAGAUAAAGAUUACUUUUUCUCAUUGCCUUUAACAAAGAGCAGAACUCUGAUUAACGCAACUAGAAAAAAAAUCUCACCACCAUCUAUGGUUGAAAGUUUACUCAAAUACUGUAUCUAUAUUCAAAAUUUCAGAUGCGAAAAUCAUAUAAGCAAACUCAUUAUGACAUAGUCACAGUUUGACCAGAACAUCAACAUAAACUAAAUCUAUCACAUAAAGAUCAGGAUAAGUAUUGAAAGUAACAGAGUAGUGUAGAAUGAAGAAGCACAGUACCUGACACUGCACAUCAAUCCCACUUUUCUUGUAUUCAACAUAAAGGCACCUUGAGAAUUGAUCGAUGUACCUGAUAACAUACACAAAAUAAAUAAAUAAAUAAACUAACAUGAACCUACUGCAAAUCUCCAGGAAUUAAGACCUUACAAGUAAAUCACUAGGACAUAAAAAAAAGGUCUUACGCUUUAGUAGCAGCAUAAACAGCAUAAAGAGGAUCAGAAGGGAUUACAAUGGCAGCUCCAGAACCAAUAUUAACAAUAGCACCCUUCUUCCUCUUCAACAUCCCAGGCAGAACAGCUUGUGUAACUUUAGUAGUACCUUCAACAUUCACUCUAAUCAAAUGCUUCAACAGCUCCUCGUCAACCUCAUGAAAGAACCUGGCAUAAGGAUAAGAAACCCCGACAUUAUUAAUCAAGAUACCAACAUCCAGACCUUCAACAGUCUCCUUAAUCUUUUGAACACCCUCGUCAAUAUCGCCACUGAAAUCAACAACAACGUUCUUGAUUUGGACAUUACUGUAUUU
rnacentral:lncRNA from 1 species